GUGAGGAAUAUUGGUCAAUGGACGAGAGUCUGAACCAGCCAAGUCGCGUGAAGGAAGACGGUUCUAUGAAUUGUAAACUUCUUUUGUGCAGGAAUAAAGUGGGUUACGUGUAACCUUUUGUAUGUACUGCACGAAUAAGGAUCGGCUAACUCCGUGCCAGCAGCCGCGGUAUUACGGAGGAUCCGAGCGUAAUCCGGAUUUAUUGGGUUUAAAGGGUGCGUAGGUGGAUUGAUAAGUCAGCGGUGAAAGUUUGCAGCUUAACUGUAAAAUUGCCGUUGAAACUGUCGGUCUUGAGUGCAAAUGAGGUAGGCGGAAUGUGUUGUGUAGCGGUGAAAUGCUUAGAUAUAACACAGAACUCCGAUUGCGAAGGCAGCUUACUGGGAUGCAACUGACACUGAUGCACGAAAGCGUGGGUAUCAAACAGGAUUAGAAACCCCGGUAGUCC
rnacentral:rRNA from 1 species